rnacentral:rRNA from 1 species
UUUGGCACCUCGAUGUCGGCUCAUCGCAUCCUGGGGCUGUAGUCGGUCCCAAGGGUUGGGCUGUUCGCCCAUUAAAGCGGUACGCGAGCUGGGUUCAGAACGUCGUGAGACAGUUCGGUCCCUAUCCGUCGUGGGCGUAGGAAAUUUGAGAGGAGCUGUCCUUAGUACGAGAGGACCGGGAUGGACAUACCUCUGGUGUACCAGUUGUCGUGCCAACGGCAUAGCUGGGUAGCUAUGUAUGGACGGGAUAAGUGCUGAAAGCAUCUAAGCAUGAAGCCCCCCUCAAGAUGAGAUUUCCCAACUUCGGUUAUAAGAUCCCUCAAAGAUGAUGAGGUUAAUAGGUUCGAGGUGGAAGCGUAGCGAUACGUGGAGCUGACGAAUACUAAUCGAUCGAAGACUUAAUCAA